rnacentral:rRNA from 1 species
CACGUAGGGGACGAGCGUUGUCCGGAUUCAUUGGGCGUAAAGGGCUCGUAGGUGGCCAACUAAGUCAGACGUGAAAUCCCUCGGCUUAACCGGGGAACUGCGUCUGAUACUGGAUGGCUAGAGUUUGGGAGAGGGAUGCGGAAUUCCAGGUGUAGCGGUGAAAUGCGUAGAUAUCUGGAGGAACACCGGUGGCGAAGGCGGCAUCCUGGACCGACACUGACGCUGAGGAGCGAAAGCCAGGGGAGCAAACGGG